UUCAUUUCUUUCUUUUUGCAAUCAUCAACGGCGGAAAACAAAGAAACCAAUUAGUUGUUGAAUUAUUUAGGGGUGUUGUCUAAGGUGCAAUAGUGUGUGGGUCUUGCACCCAUGCCACACAUGUUAGAGCCAAUGAGGUGGCACCAACUGUCAAUGUGAGAAUUGGAAACCGGUUGAUCGGGUUAAUAGGUAUUUUAAAUAUAUUUGAUAUACAAUAUGUACAUGACAAAAAAGCCCCUGCCUUUUUAUUUUCCUACCGUAACAAAAAAGGAGGCCCUGCACUUGGUUUUUUCUGGUAAACCUCACCACCAAGGCCAUAUCCGGCCAACCACCGCGGCUGCGGCGGUCGCAGAGUUUCAGCGUGGUGGUCCGCGGUUGCGCCGGAAGACAUAUCGGUGUGAGAAAGACGAAGACGACAUGAUCUGGGCGCACUAGACGAUGUUGAACACGAAGAGCCCUAACCUUCGUGAACUCUAACAUGAGAGCUAAUCCUUGCAUGUCAUGGUGGGUUUGAAAUCAUGGUAAUUGAAUAAAGGGUUCGGUCGAUUUUCGAAUAGAUGUCGAAAUCACAGAGGAGAAACAUCGAUGGUGUCCUUGUGAGCUUUAGAUUCCGACUGCAGCGGCGUCCAUGGCACACAGGGUGGGUCUUCUCCAUGUAUCUCUGCGUGAUGGUAUUUGUUUGUGGUUGUUUAUGCAUAGAACUGUGUUAAAAUUGGGGAUUUCAAGGGAAGAUCGAAGAAGGAAGAAAAGCAGAUCUAGUUCCAAUUUCGCGUCUGAAAAACCAGAUCUCGUUGCAGAAGCUCCGGCAAGAGGUCCAGCGCCACGAUGUCUCCGUUUUAUCAUUGCUGUUAAAGGUAAAGAGGUUAGAAGAUAAGAUGCAGAUCUUCCCUGGCCAAUAGGAGUUGCAAGACUUGGAGAAGAUGGUCACCGUGUGGGGAGAACAGAGAGAUAAUAAAAGAAAAUAAAGGAUAUUAUUGUAAUCUUGUUUUUUUUUUUUUUCUAUCAACAGGUCAUCUAACCUACUAUUGUGGGUAAUUUUUGCUCUUAUAUGGUGCAAGACCUAGAGUGCACUUGCACCCUAAGAGCAUCUCCAAUGGUAGAAACUUAUUUUGGGACUUAACUCAAUUUUUGUGGACCCAAAUUGCCACAUAGGAUUUAAGACACCCAUAAGGUCUUCAUGCAUAUUUCACUCUAGUGGUUGGGAUCUUAUUUUACUUU